GACGAACGCUGGCGGCGUGCUUAACACAUGCAAGUCGAGCGGAAAGGCCACUUCGGUGGUCCUCGAGCGGCGUACGGGUGAGUAACACGUGAGUAAUCUGCCCCUCACUUUGGGAUAGCCACCGGAAACGGUGAUUAAUACCUGAGAUGACCAUAUGUCGCAUGGCGUGUGGUGGAAAGUUUUUCGGUGAGGGAUGUGCUCGCGGCCUAUCAGCUUGAUGGUGAGGUAAUGGCUCACCAUGGCUUCGACGGGUAGCCGGCCUGAGAGGGUGACCGGUCACACUGGGACUGAGACACGGCCCAGACUCCUACGGGAGGCAGCAGUGGGGAAUAUUGGACAAUGGGCGGAAGCCUGAUCCAGCAACGCCGCGUGAGGGAUGACGGCCUUCGGGUUGUAAACCUCUUUCAGUACCGACGAAGCGCAAGUGACGGUAGGUACAGAAGAAGCACCGGCCAACUACGUG
rnacentral:rRNA from 1 species